ensembl:lncRNA
GUUCAACUUUCAUGAAGGCAGUGGCUUUCCAGCUCCCUUCUUUGUGUGCAUUAAGGUGUGCUGGGACACAUCCCUGAGCAGAACUUCCUGCAGCAAUGAGUGGUCCAGGUGAGGGCCUAUUCUUCCCCAGAAGGCUUUGAGGAGUUCAACAGGAAUAAAAAUGCUUCAUAAAGCUAUCACAGAAUUAUAGAAUCAUGGAAUCAUAGAAUUGCUCAGGUUGGAAAUGACCUUAAAGAUCAAGCCCAACCACAACCUAACCAUACUACCCUAACUCAAAUAACCCUCCACUAAAUCAAAUUGUAACAAAAAUUUUGGUAAAAUGAAACAUUUUGUUAUGCAAAAAUUUUUAUUUUAAACUCGAUUCACUAAAAAUUGUCAUCAAAAUGGGCAAGAGCAAACAGUAAGUAUUAAUAUUCUGCAAGUGUUAUUGCUGAAAGCUGUUUUAAGACAAGAAAGUGUCUUUAUUCCUAACAUGUCUAGACUACUUUUUCACUUUCUCUCCGUUUUUAGUACCUUUUAUAUACUCAUUAAUAGUUGGAUAUUUUGUUAAAGAACUCCAAAUGGGUGUUUUGCUAUUCUUAAAUGCAAAACAGAAGCAAUCAAUAAUUCUGUCUGCUGCUAAAUAGAGCUAGACUCUGGGUGGUGUUAGCAGUGGAGAAAAUGAACAGCACAGGAUUAACAAGUAUUUUGAUCAUAUUGCUGGUUCAAUUCAGCUAAAAAACAAUAGUAUCUUGUGGGAUUAAACAGGAAUCUUUAUCUAAGAAGAUACGUAUCAAAGAAUUGGAACACUGCUCUUUUUUUUUUUUUUUUUUAAUCUUUUCACCUUUGGUCUUUUCUAUUUCAAACUCUCUUCAGGUGCCACACUCUCUUUUCACGUACUUAUUGCAUUCAUCAGCUCUCUGUGUUCGUUCAAUGUUAGAUGAAGCGGGCACUCGGAGAGCCUCACCAGAACCUACUGAAAGUCACAAGAACAUCCUUCACUGACCUCAGAAACAUGUUUAGGAGGAAGUUUCAGGGAUGAAGUUGAAGUGUGAAUGGACAAGAAUACAGUGUGUGUAAGAGGUGUGGCUUGAGCGGCUGCUGAUCCCUUCAAAAAUGUUUUAAAAACAUAUCAGAUAAGUAGACGUACAGACUGGGACUCAAAGGUGACGCUGGCAGGUGAGAAGCCUUUUGGAGCCUCAUCUCUAAGGGAACAGUCAGCUAAAUUUCAGUGUUGAACCACAGGGGGAAAGAAUGCAAAUGAGAAAGAACAAACAAAGCUUGUCUGAUGUGAGAGCUUCCUGAUUUUAGUACUCUUUU